UAGAGUUUGAUCAUGGCUCAGAAUGAACGCUGGCGGCGUGCUUAACACAUGCAAGUCGCACGAGAACUCUUUAGCUUGCUAAAGAUAGUAAAGUGGCGCACGGGUGAGUAACACGUGGGUAAUCUACCUCUGAAUCGGGGAUAACACCGCGAAAGCGAUGCUAAUACCGGAUAAUAUCUUUUAAGCUUCGGCUUACCAGAUCAAAGGUGGCCUCUACAUGAAAGCUACUGUUUGGAGAUGGGCCCGCGUACCAUUAGCUUGUUGGUGGGGUAAUGGCCCACCAAGGCAUCGAUGGUUAGCUGGUCUGAGAGGAUGAUCAGCCACACUGGAACUGACACACGGUCCAGACUCCUACGGGAGGCAGCAGUGAGGAAUUUUGCGCAAUGGGGGAAACCCUGACGCAGCAACGCCGCGUGAGUGAUGAAGGCCCUCGGGUCGUAAAACUCUGUCAAGUGGGAAGAACCUGCUUUAUGUUAAUACCAUAUUGCACUGACGGUACCACUGAAGGAAGCACCGGCUAACUCCGUGCCAGCGGCCGCGGUAAUACGGAGGGUGCAAGCGUUACUCGGAAUUAUUGGGCGUAAAGAGCGCGUAGGCGGUCUUUUAAGUCAGAUGUGAAAGCCCGAGGCUUAACCUCGGAAGUGCAUUUGAAACUAAGGGACUUGGGUAUGGGAGAGGGAAGUGGAAUUCCUGGUGUAGAGGUGAAAUUCGUAGAUAUCAGGAGGAACACCGGUGGCGAAGGCGACUUCCUGGACCAAUACUGACGCUGAGGCGCGAAGGCGUGGGGAGCAAACAGGAUUAGAUACCCUGGUAGUCCACGCAGUAAACGGUGAACACUAGGUAUAGCGGGUAUUGACCCCUGCUGUGCCGUAGUUAACGCAUUAAGUGUUCCGCCUGGGGAGUACGACCGCA
rnacentral:rRNA from 1 species